CCUACGGGUGGCAGCAGUGAGGAAUAUUGGUCAAUGGCCGGAAGGCUGAACCAGCCAUGCCGCGUGAAGGUCAGUGCCCUAUGGGCGUUAAACUUCUUUUGUGCGGGAGCAAUAAUGGUCACGUGUGGCCAGACGAGAGUACCGUACGAAUAAGCAUCGGCUAACUCCGUGCCAGCAGCCGCGGUAAUACGGGUGAUGCAAGCGUUAUCCGGAUUUAUUGGGUUUAAAGGGUGCGUAGGCUGUGAGGUAAGUCAGCGGUGAAAUGCCCCCGCUCAACGGGGUGAAGUGCCAUUGAAACUGCCUGGCUGGAAUGCGGAUGCCUUGGGAGGAAUGUGUGGUGUAGCGGUGAAAUGCAUAGAUAUCACACAGAACACCGAUUGCGAAGGCAUCUCACGAAUCCGCGAUUGACGCUGAUGCACGAAAGCGUGGGUAUCAAACAGGAUUAGAUACCCUGGUAGUC
rnacentral:rRNA from 1 species